rnacentral:rRNA from 1 species
AUUGAACGCUGGCGGCAGGCCUAACACAUGCAAGUCGAACGAGUGGCGGACGGGUGAGUAAUGUCUGGGAAACUGCCCGAUGGAGGGGGAUAACUACUGGAAACGGUAGCUACUACCGCUUAACGUCGGAUGUGCCCAGAGGGGAUUAGCUAGUAGGUGGGGCAACGGCUCACCUAGGCGGCGAUCCCUAGCUGGUCUGAGAGGAUGACCAGCCACACUGGAACUGGGACACGGCCCAGACUCCUACGGGAGGCAGCAGUGGGGAAUAUUGCACAAUGGGCGCAAGCCUGAUGCAGCCAUGCCGCGUGUAUGAAGAAGGCCUUCGGGUUGUAAAGUACUUUCAGCGAGGAGGCGUUACUCGCAGAAGAAGCACCGGCUAACUCCGUGCCAGCAGCCGCGGUAAUUC